rnacentral:rRNA from 1 species
UUAGGGAAAAAAAUGACGGUACCUAAAGAAUAAGCAUUGGCUAACUCCGUGCCAGCAGCCGCGGUAAGACGGAGGAUGCAAGCGUUAUCCGGAAUUAUUGGGCGUAAAGCGUACGUAGGCUGUUUGAUAAGUCAGUUGUCAAAUCGCGAGGCUCAACCUUGUAAAGGCAAUGGAAACUGUUAGACUAGAGAGAGAUAGGGGCAGGGGGAAUUCCCGGUGGAGCGGUGAAAUGCGUAGAUAUUGG